CUCAGUGAGAUUGCUCCUUCAAGGUAGACAGUUGGCAUCCUGUUCUCCAGUGUGGUGUUCAGGCCGGGGGUUCCCUUGUUUUGCAGAAGAAGGACCCUGAAUUUUACUCUUGUUUCUUCUUUCUCUGAGCAAUUUCUGUGAGUAGCCGUUGUACUCGUCAAAAUCCUGUAGGCUUUUUUUUGGUGUUGUUUUUCUAAGUUUUGAUAUCAGCAUUUCACAGACUAAUAAAAGUAGUGUGUUUGCUGUGUUCUCAGUAUGAGAGCUGAAAGAGAAUAGCAGCGCAUGCUCUUCCACAGUUUGCUGGCUGGCUGCCUGGGUCUGGUCUGUUUGGGCCUCCCAGAGGCCUCUCAGUUGCCAGGGUAACGGGCAGGUUCACUACACCAGGUGACCCCUGUGGCUGGGUGUCCGGAAGGCCGAUGGCCCACCUUCUCCCACAGGUUCCUUCUGAGUUCCACCAUUCUAUCAGUCGAUGGGCCGUUUAAAAGUCACUGCUCCCCGGGAAAUGACAGCAUUUCCUACAGUUCUGAGAGGUUGUCUUUCGGAUCAUUUCCCCUCAACGCAGUGCAUUGCUGAGAUACUCUCCGACUCUUGGGGUCCAAUAUCUCCACCUUCUGCUUUACCGAAACUACGCGUUUCUCUCCUGCUCGUUCUCAUUUGAGGCAAACCAUUCAACUUUCCAGAAUGUGGUGUUUUAAAGCCAAAUUGUUCUAAUCCCCAAUGAAACUUCAUCCUCCCUUGGAAGAUUCUUAAAAGGAAUAUAAUACUCGAAGUUUUUAAAGACGCGUUUCCUACUGAAUAAAAAGCAGAGCAUUGUUUUCACGUUGUUGAGUCACUUUUUCCGCCAGCUCCUUCUCUAAACAAAACGCUUUGGCCUUC
rnacentral:lncRNA from 1 species